UGAGAGUAGAUGAUGUAUAGGGUGAGAUGAUUUGGACAAUUGUAAAUCUUAUGUUUAUGUUUGAAUGAGUGUAAAGGUAAUCAAAUGUAUUAAAGUUAAAAGGUUGUAAUAGUUAGUAUCUCUUUUUUGUUCACUUGUUUAUUACUUGUGAUGCUUGCUCUUGAUGGUUUAGCACUGGUUGUGCUCUCGUUGUUGUUGUUGAUUGUGUAUGAAUUCAAGUUGAUUUUCUAGGAACUUGUUGUACAUGAUCUCGUUAUUUAGCCUUGGGCGGACAGGGGAGGUGCUGUCCGUUC
rnacentral:lncRNA from 1 species